GUGAGGAUAAGGAAGAGGCAGUGCUUAGAGGAGCUGCCUACAAGAAGCAUCAAGGAGGUUGUCCACCUGUGAGAGACCCAGAGUGAAAGAAGUAAAACCACAUUGUGAAAGAUGUCUCAGGAGGAAGUAUCAUCUUCCAGUGUGAGAAGAGCAAUGUGGAACCAUUGGAGUUACUAAUGUUCUGUUUACAAUGCUGUUCGUGCACUUGCAAGGCCUGUCUUUAAAUGAGGUGAUGUGUCCAUGAAGAAAGAUACUUCCAGCCAAUGAACAUAGGGGUUUUUUUAAUGAUAAUAAUGAAUCAGUUGAUUUUUGAAGGAAAGAACAGAGUCUGUGAAAGGGUAAAACCACUCUAUAGAGGCUAAAUGACCUGCAGGUCAGAAUAUCAAAGCUGAAAUGUUUGAAAGUGCACUUUUUCUUUCUCCUUUAAUACAGCAUUGAGAUGUGCUUAGUGUUUUAUUUCUUAUGCUUUGUAUUGAUGGCAUUUUUUGA